rnacentral:tRNA from 1 species
GGCUCCAUAGUUUAGAGGUAAAAUUCCUGCUUUGGGUGCAGGAGGCCCGGGUUCGAGUCCCGGUGGAGCCC